rnacentral:piRNA from 1 species
UGUUGCACCAGGUGGAAUUGA